rnacentral:rRNA from 1 species
CCCUUAGAUGUUCUGGGCCGCACGCGCGCUAUACUGAUGCAUUCAACAAGCCUAGCCUUGACCGAGAGGUCCGGGUAAUCUUUGAAACUGCAUCGUGAUGGGGCUAGAUUAUUGCAAUUAUUAAUCUUCAACGAGGAAUGCCUAGUAAGCGUGAUUCAUCAAAUCGCGUUGAUUACGUCCCUGCCCUUUGUACACACCGCCCGUCGCUCCUACCGAUUGAAUGUGUUGGUGAGGAGCUCGGAUUGGCAGCAGUUGGUGGUUCGCCACCGGCUAUUGCUGAGAAGUCCUCCAAACCGCCCCAUUUAGAGGAAGGAGAAGUCGUAACA